rnacentral:rRNA from 1 species
GACGGAGGGUGCAAACGUUGUUCGGAAUUACUGGGCGUAAAGCGCGUGUAGGCGGCUAAGUAAGUCGGGCGUGAAAUCCCACGGCUCAACCGUGGAAGUGCACUCGAAACUGCAUAGCUAGAGUCCUGGAGAGGAAGGUGGAAUGCUUGGUGUAGAGGUGAAAUUCGUAGAUAUCAAGCGGAACACCGGUGGCGAAGGCGGCCUUCUGGACAGUGACUGACGCUGAGACGCGAAAGCGUGGGGAGCAAACAGG